rnacentral:rRNA from 1 species
UACAGAGGGGGCAAGCGUUGUUCGGAAUUACUGGGCGUAAAGGGCGCGCAGGCGGCUCAUUUUGUCAGGCGUGAAAGCCCCGGGCUUAACCUGGGAACUGCGUUUGAUACGGAUGGGCUAGAGUUCGGGAGAGGAGAGUGGAAUUCCCAGUGUAGAGGCGAAAUUCGUAGAUAUUGGGAAGAACACCGGUGGCGAAGGCGGCUCUCUGGACCGAGACUGACGCUGAGGCGCGAAAGCGUGGGGAGCAAACAGG